rnacentral:rRNA from 1 species
UUUGAAGGGUAUUCUCAUAAAUCCCAUCAAAAAUACUUUGUCUACCCACUUCUCUUUCACGAGUAUAUUUAUGCAUUUCAUGAUUAUCGAUUAAAUGGUUCUGAACCUGGGAAAAUAGUUAGUUGUAAUAACAGGAAAUUUAGUUCACUACUUGUGAAACAUUUAAUUAUUCGAUUCAGAGAUUGGAAUGGUACCUCCAACGGACAAGAUCACUUAUGGAAGUUGUGA